rnacentral:lncRNA from 1 species
UUCAUUUCAAGACAAAGGGUUUGGUUGGUUUAAUUGCAAAAGCGUCUAAAGAAUAUAGGGUAUCUGAAUUUGAGAGGCGAUUCAAUGAUAUUCGCAACAUUAGUCCGCUCGUUGCAAAAUACUUGAUGGAGGCUGGUGCGGAAAAGUGGGCGCGAUGCAAGUUUUCUGGAUUCAGAUAUGACAUUCGAACCACUAACCCAGCUGAGUCGAUGAAUUCUGUUCUGUUAGCACCCAGAGAGUUUCCUGUCAUUCCUUUGUUGGACAACGGUUGUUAAUUUUAUCAAUUUCCGGUUCACUUCCUGGCGUAAAAAAUCGUUUAGGCAAGUCCAUAUCCAAUCCUGCGAAUAAGAAAUAAAAGAUUACGGAAAUGAGUAGCCCAAACCACGAAAUUCCAUGGACAAGGAAACAAAAAAAAAAAUCAAAACCAGAAGAAAUUGACGACAAAGAAACGAUCUUAUCUUGAGACCGGAACGUGAACUAAACACAAAGCCACAAAAACUCAUAAACUCGAUUGGCUCAUAGAGCCUGGCUGAGAAACUCAUAAACUCGAUUGGAUGAGAAACCACCUAUGUAUAGAGACUGGUACAAAGCUAAUAAACAACUUCAUAGUAACACAGUACUCAGAAACAAAUGAAACUCAAGUGAUAUCAACAACAGCAACAACAAAUCCAACGAUGACCCUUGUAGAAAAAAAGAAAAAAAAAACACUAUAAGAUGUUGAUUCAUGCUUUAGAAUGAAGAAAAUACAGUGAAACAGCAUUAUUAUUCUGAGGGGAAAACAAAAGCAAACAAAAAACAAAAACAAAAAAAGGCUCAAGUCUAAAGUCUAAGUGCCAUUAUCGCUUAUUCAAUUCUAAAGUCUAAGUGCCAUUAUCCUGGGGAAAACGACCAAAAACAAAUAAAAGGUAUAAGAAGUAAAAAAAACAGGCUUUUAAAAGAGUCUCUACGUGAUUAGAAUAUGCAUUUGUGAAUUGGAUUCAAAGUUUGACCACUCUUAAACUCAAUACAUACAGGUAUACACAAAUAACUACAAUUACUGAAGGACAAAACAAAGAUGCAAAGUGCACGAUUUGAUGAGAGGAAAAAUGUGGGAGAAUCAUAUAUCUAAGUAAAGAUCUCUCAUAAACCUCAAAACAAACAGCAUGAAGUCGUAUUUUCUCAUAAGUCUCAAAACAAAUUAUGUUUCUUUUCUUUACUAUGCCAUUAUAAGUUUGCGUAAAUUAUUUUUCCUGCAGCUGUUAAGAAAUUAAGUAAUGAAAACUACAAUGAAUCUCAUACACAAUGAAUUUCGUUAAUCAAUUAGAUGGGUCGGUCGAUAUUUUGAGAGCAUCAGAAUACUUCGCAAAACCCAGAAAUCAACAACUCUACAUAAUCCCAAUUCAACAAAUCAAUAUUCCAAAACCCAGAAAACACAAUCAAUUUGGGAUUACACAAACCCUAACAGUUGAAAGAUUGAAACAAAAUAAGAGGACGACGCGACUUACCGGAGUGAAGGUCCACCGAAGACUACACCGGAGGAGAAGAAGACCGGAGGAGAAGAAGUCAGCGGCGAAAGUUUUUU